rnacentral:tRNA from 1 species
GGAAAUGUGGCUUAGUGGUAGAGUGCUUGCCUAGCAUGCAUGAAACCGUGGGUUCAAUUCCUCAAUACCA